rnacentral:rRNA from 1 species
AGCAGUGAAGGAAUAUUGGUCAAUGGCCUAACGGCCGAACCAGCAACUUGGAGGAAUGUAUAGGGAAAACUGGUAAAAUGUGAUGUACCUAGUAAUAUUAGUGAUUAAUAUGAGAUUAACUAAGUUAAUUAAAUUUCUAAGUAUAUUUUGAUUAUGACAUUAUAUACUGAUGUCUUGACCAAGUCACGUGCCAGCAGUCGCGGUAAUACGUGGUAGACAAGUGUUAUUCAUAUUUAAAAGGUUUAAAGGGUACCUAGACAGUUAAUUAAGCUUAAAUUAGUACUAAUUUAACUAGAGUUUAAUGUAAGAAGGAUUGAGUACGGUGAGUGGAGAGAUAUAAUUCAGUGAUACCACUUAGGAACUGGUAAAGGCGAAGGCAACCUUCUAUGUAAAAACUGACGUUGAGGGACGAAGGCUUAUGUUAAAGAAUAGGAUUAGAUACCCUAGUAUUGUAAGCAGAAAAUGAUGAGUGUCAUAUGCAAUAAGUUUUUUGUGUAUAAAUGAAAGUGUAAGCAUUCCACCUCAAGAGUAACGUGGCAACACGGGAACUGAAAUCAUUAGACCGUUUCUGAAACUCGUAGUGAAGUAUGUUGUUUAAUUUGAUAACCCUCAAAGAACCUUACCACAAUUUGUAUAACUAUAGUAUAUUAUGAUAUAGUAACAAGUGUUGCACGGCUGUCUUCAGUUAAUGUUGUGAAACUUUGGUUAGAUCCAUUAAAUUGACGUAAACCCUUGCUUUAUUUACUAUAGAGCUGUUCGCCACUAUAUUGGUAGUGAUAUAUGGGACCAAGACAAGUCAUCAUGACCUAAACAUUGUGGGCUAUAGACGUGCCACAUUA